rnacentral:rRNA from 1 species
AUUGAACGCUGGCGGCAGGCCUAACACAUGCAAGUCGAACGAGUGGCGGACGGGUGAGUAAUGUCUGGGAAACUGCCUGAUGGAGGGGGAUAACUACUGGAAACGGUAGCUAAUACCGCAUACCAUCCGAUGUUCCCAGAGGGGAUUAGCUAGUGGGUGGGGUAAAGGCUCACCUAGGCGACGAUCCCUAGCUGGUCUGAGAGGAUGACCAGCCACACUGGAACUGAGACACGGUCCAGACUCCUACGGGAGGCAGCAGUGGGGAAUAUUGCACAAUGGGCGCAAGCCUGAUGCAGCCAUGCCGCGUGUAUGAAGAAGGCCUUCGGAUUGUAAAGCACUUUAAGUUGGGAGGCGUUACCAACAGAAUAAGCACCGGCUAACUUCGUGCCAGCAGCCGCGGUAAUUC